rnacentral:rRNA from 1 species
GCCAGAGACCGAUAGCGCACAAGUAGAGUGAUCGAAAGAUGAAAAGCACUUUGAAAAGAGGGUUAAAAAGUACGUGAAAUUGUUGAAAGGGAAGCGCCUGUGACCAGACUUGAGCCCGGCGGCUCCGCCUGUCUUCUGGCAGGCUCACUCCGCCGGGCCCAGGCCAGCAUCGGUUUUCGGAGGGGGACAAAAGCGGUGGGAAUGUGGCUCCCUCGGGAGUGUUAUAGCCCGCCGCAGAAAUACCCUUCUGGAGACCGAGGUCCGCGCCCUGCAAGGAUGCUGGCGUAAUGGUCACCGGCGACCCGUCUUGAAACACGGACCAAGGAGUCAAACGUUUGUGCGAGUGUUCGGGUGCUAAACCCCAGCGCGUAAUGAAA